GUCCACGCCGUAAACGAUGGAUACUAGGUGUUCGGGGAGUUAACCCCCUGAGUACCAAAGCUAACGCAUUAAGUAUCCCGCCUGGGGGAGUACGGUCGCAAGGCUAAAACUCAAAGGAAUUGACGGGGGCCCGCACAAGCGGUGGAGUAUGUGGUUUAAUUCGAAGCAACGCGCAGAACCUUACCUACCCUUAACAUCCCAAGACGACUGCAGAGAUGUAGUUUUCCCUUCGGGGACUUGGAGAUAGGUGCUGCAUGGCUGUCGU
rnacentral:rRNA from 1 species